rnacentral:rRNA from 1 species
AUAAAUUUGCUGAGGUAGUGACAAAAAAUACCGAUAUCGGGCUUCGGUUCGACAAUUGGAAUGGGGUGGGUGCAAAUAGCCCGCCGAGCAACCAUUAGAGGGCAAGUCUGGUGCCAGCAGCCGCGGUAAUUCCAGCUCUAAUAGUGUAUACUAACGUUGCUGAUGUUAAAAAGCUCGUAGUUGGAUUUAAGAUGGAGCUAUUCGUCUUUGUGUUUUGUUGAUUCGGAUUGUCUACUGGAGGCUUACUUUCUUGUCGUGGGUUGAUUCAUGAUCCCGGCAGGGGAGGGGUGCCAGCAGGCGCCGGAUUAGCCGCAGAGAUUGCUUCGUCAAUUUUAUUUUCGAAUUGUCACGGUCCACUUCACUGUGGUACUGUGGCGGUCCGGAAGGUUUACUUUGAAGAAAAUGGAGUGUUCAAAG